AAAGAUGAUAAAGUUUGGUAUGAUGGUGGAAUUAUUGGAAGAAUACAGUUUGGUAAUGGCAAGAAUGAGAGAUCAAUUGCAUUUUCAGUUUCUGAGGACUCUUCGUGCUGCUUCAACUUCAUCCUCCUUCUCUGAUUCUUCUUCAUUUCUUGUUUAUUUUUAAUACAGAUUUGUUUCAUUCAUAUAUAUAUGCACGAUAUUUGGUCAUGCUUAAAAAACAACUUUUCCUCAUCUCUAUAUAUAAUGCUGAGAAAAGAUACCAAAAAACUGCUUUUAAACGCGAUCAAAUUACA
rnacentral:lncRNA from 1 species